rnacentral:rRNA from 1 species
GACGAACGCUGGCGGCGUGCUUAAUACAUGCAAGUCGAACGGAAAGGCCCUGCUUUUGUGGGGUGCUCGAGUGGCGAACGGGUGAGUAACACGUGAGUAACCUGCCCUCGACGUUGGGAUAACUUCAGGAAACUGGGGCUAAUACCGGAUAUGAGCUCCUGCUGCGUGUGGGUGGUUGGAGAGUUGCGGCGGUUGGGGAUGGACUCGCGGCUUAUCAGCUUGUUGGUGGGGGAGUGUCUUGCCAAGGCUUUGACGGGUAGCCGGCCUGAGAGGGUGACCGGCCACAAUGGGACUGAGAUACGGCCCAGACUCCUACGGGAGGCAGCAGUGGGGAAUAUUGCACAGUGGGCGGAAGCCAGAUGCAGAAACGCCGCGUGCGGGAUGACGGCCUUCGAGUUGUAAACCGCUUUCGCAUGUGACGAAGCGUGAGUGACGGUAAUGAGUAAAGAAGCACCGGCUAACUACGUG